GUUAAAAAGCUCGUAGUUGAA
rnacentral:siRNA from 1 species